CAGGUGUAUUAGGAAGGAGAACACGACACAGCAGGCCAUGGGUACACCACAAGCUUUUCACAAAGUGAAGUCUCAGCUUCCCCAUCCACCUGUUUUUACAGGUCAGUAGUUCACCAAGUCCAGACUUUUCAAGCUUUCCCAUUAAAUAAGCACAUCCCAAAAGUCACACAUUGAGAUAGAAAGGGACAGAUUAGGGAAGGAGUUUUCAGAGUGCUCUCAAGCAGGAGAAAAGGGGAAGGUUUCAUCCUUCAAAACCUAUGGAUGAGUAACACUGAGGAUCCCUCACGAAAUUACCUUCUCCAGUCAUAUUUGGGAAGAAUGAGCUUUGAGGUACUUCUUUAGGAUGGGUGUUACUGUCUGUACAGGAAAAGAGUGUGCUCUAGGAGAAAUAGAGCAUAACAUCGGUGAAGAGUGAACAACUUGAGAUAAAAUAUUUAAGAGAGUGGGCAUUGAAUCACAAGAUUGGAGAUCAACCUAUUUCCACCAGCAUGUCUCGUGUAAUUUUGUAAUGCCAGACUAAGGCAAAGAAGUCAGUGCUACACAGGAAGAGACCAGCUUGAAACUGUAACUGUUAUUUCAGCCAGCCAAUACUUAAAUUGAGUUUUUCCACACAUUCUUUAUAUAAUUGCACAGUCAAGUGUCUUCCUUACCACUGCAGGCUAUUGGGGAAACUCUUGUGGCAAAUUAAUAUUAUUGGCCAUCUUAGGAUCUAUAGUGAGACAGCAGCAUUUCAACCCCAGUUUCUGGAUCCUGCUGACACACUACUUAUUGUGGAUUGGAUACAAGGUCCAAAGCAGAAGGUUUGGCUCCAAGAAGAAAAGAAAAAGACAAAAGUCAAUUUUCUGUGUAACUUAUCAGCCUAGGAGAGAAGUGCGCCUACCUUUUGAUUUCCUGAGGAAGCAAUAGUUAAAAUAUAUACUUGCUAUUUAGGCAUUAAGAAUCUUUGCCUAAUUUUAAGUCUUGAUUUUUCCCCCACAACAUUCCCCUGUAAUUACAACCUGGUUAAAAAGGAGUUUAUCUGAGUUCAGAAUGUUGUCAUAAAUGGUAAAAAAUGUGUUUUAUUCUCUCAUUAUCUCAUAUGAGAAUUAAGAAGUAGGCUUAUUUACAAGGGUGAUAGAAAGUAGAAAUUCAUUCUACAAUAAUAUUUGUUAGCCUGGUUUCACUGUAAGGUAGAUAAUCUUCUUAUAAAUCCUGUCAGGAGGUUGUGCUAGAUUUGCUUUUAAUUACAGUCGAGUGGCUUUCAGCAACUGCAGGACUCCACAGAACAUGUUGCCACCAUGUUAGCACCUGGUGACAGCUUACCUACUAUUUGCACAGCUUUUAAACAAACUUCUAAACAAGAGCCAGAUCCUUCCACAGACUACACUCCCUCUCUAGCAGGGAAGUCACAUCAGAUUCAGCCUUGCAUGCUAAGGGAUUGCUAUGAAAUUACUCUGUGAGGUUCAGUCCUGUGUAUUAUCCCUACUCUCAACUCAAAUACAACCUUUAGAAAAAGCAACUAACAGGCUCUCUAGAGUUUCAAUACAGCUCAGGCACAGAUUUAGCAUCAGGAAGGUUACAUGGUAGGAGACCACCUCUCUCUGCUGUGCUGGCAGGAUCAUUGCACACAGCACAUGAUGCAGCCUCAGCUGCAUGUCAGGCUGCUCCCCGCACCACCUUUAUCACAGCCCUGGUACCAAACACGCUCCUGGAUCCACCUGCCCUUUCGGGAUACACCCUGCCCAGCAGCUUGUGGGACAGGCCAAAUCAUUCCCUCUCUCUCAGCUUGGGAGAGUAUAGUUCUUGCCCUCAAAAGCUGAGAAAGAGG